GUGAAAUAUCAUGUCAGACGGCGGAAGAUGAGGAAGUGGAGGCGUCUUUAACGAUUUGUAAGCGCACAGACGAUAAGGCCACUUAAAAUGACUGAGCUAAGAGAAGAGGUCGGUUUUGACGACAUUAAACGACUGAUCGACCACAUGUCGAAGAACGUUUAUCGAGCAAAGGAUAAUGAUCCAAUGAACAAUAAUGCACUGGAUAAAUGUUUGCAGCUCUUUGGAAGAGACUACAAAUUCUCCGUGAUAAACAACA